rnacentral:rRNA from 1 species
AUUGAACGCUGGCGGCAGGCCUAACACAUGCAAGUCGAACGGUAACAGGAAGCAGCUUGCUGCUUUGCUGACGAGUGGCGGACGGGUGAGUAAUGUCUGGGAAACUGCCCGAUGGAGGGGGAUAACUACUGGAAACGGUAGCUAAUACCGCAUAACAUCGCAAGACCAAAGAGGGGGACCUUAGGGCCUCUUGCCAUCGGAUGUGCCCAGAUGGGAUUAGCUAGUAGGUGGGGUAACGGCUCACCUAGGCGACGAUCCCUAGCUGGUCUGAGAGGAUGACCAGCCACACUGGAACUGAGACACGGUCCAGACUCCUACGGGAGGCAGCAGUGGGGAAUAUUGCACAAUGGGCGCAAGCCUGAUGCAGCCAUGCCGCGUGUAUGAAGAAGGCCUUCGGGUUGUAAAGUACUUUCAGCGGGGAGAAAGGGAGUAAAGUUAAUACCUUUGCUCAUUGACGUUACCCGCAGAAGAAGCACCGGCUAACUCCGUG